rnacentral:rRNA from 1 species
CCUACGGGUGGCAGCAGUGAGGAAUAUUGGUCAAUGGGCGUAAGCCUGAACCAGCCAAGUCGCGUGAGGGAUGAAGGUUCUAUGGAUCGUAAACCUCUUUUAUAAGGGAAUAAAGUGUGGGACGUGUCCUGUUUUGUAUGUACCUUAUGAAUAAGGAUCGGCUAACUCCGUGCCAGCAGCCGCGGUAAUACGGAGGAUCCGAGCGUUAUCCGGAUUUAUUGGGUUUAAAGGGUGCGUAGGCGGCCUUUUAAGUCAGCGGUGAAAGUCUGUGGCUCAACCAUAGAAUUGCCGUGGAAACUGGGAGGCUUGAGUAGGUUUGAGGCAGGAGGAAUGCGUGGUGUAGCGGUGAAAUGCAUAGAUAUCACGCAGAACCCCGAUUGCGAAGGCAGCCUGCCAGGUCAUGACUGACGCUGAUGCACGAAAGCGUGGGGAUCAAACAGGAUUAGAUACCCUUGUAGUC